AGACGAACCGUACAAACGUUAUUCGGAAUCAUUGGGCUUAAAGGGUGCGUAGGCGGCGCUGCAAGUUGGGUGUGAAAUCCCUCGGCUCAACCGAGGAAUGGCGCCCAAAACUGCCGUGCUUGAGGGAGACAGAGGUGAGCGGAACUUGCGGUGGAGCGGUGAAAUGCGUUGAUAUCGCAAGGAACACCGGUGGCGAAAGCGGCUCACUGGGUCUUUUCUGACGCUGAGGCACGAAAGCUAGGGUAGCGAACGGGAUUAGAUACCCCGGUAGUCCUAGCUGUAAACGAUGAGCACUGGGUCGGAGGGCCUCCCAUAGUUUUCCGGCCGUAGCGAAAGUGUUAAGUGCUCCGCCUGGGGAGUAUGGUCGCAAGGCUGAA
rnacentral:rRNA from 1 species